GUGUAUUUAGCAAAGGAAACAGGAAGUGUCCCCUCUUUCCCCUUUGUCUCCUCCAGCGGCAGGAUGUGAGCCACCGGCAAGGAGGGACGCCAAUAAGGCAUCCGAUAAGGCGACACACAUGGGCUGGAUCCUGUGAUGUCUCCAGUCUUUCUGGUAAUGAGAUAAAGUCUGCUGGUCACGUUCAGGAAACAAAUCCUAUCCUGUGCAAGGACUCAGCCAGUGGCUCUCGGUUGGAAAUCUGAGGCAGCUCGUCAGGAGGCACCAGACUUCUCUGGGGUUACCAGUGGGGAAGGGAUGACCCAGGAGCAUGAAGGCAAAUCACCUCCUCCCGGGCAUCCUGCUGUGUGUGACCAGAUGUGCUGUUCCUGGCUGGUCGCCAGCUCUGCCAUCACUCUUCAGAAGGACGUUUUCACCCCCAUGAGUUUAUCACUUCCAGAGCUGCUCUUCAUGUCAUGGAGACCCAAACCUGUUGGCACUUCUUGGAAGAUUCAAAUUUCAAAGAGGAGAAGGCUUUGUGCCCUGUUAGGUGGUUCAUCCUCAUCCUCAGACGCACCCAAGCCACCUUUCCUGUUGCACUGGAGACUGAACAACCUGUGGAAUUCGCAGGGGACCAUAGCAGCAAUGGGUAUGCUAAGGGCAUGUGAUGUUUGCACAGGCUACCCUACAGUAUCAUUGUAUGCCACCACCAUCUGGGAACAACAGCAAUCCAAACUUAUCAGAGUCAGCGCUACUUUCAUUUUUAGGUGGGGACUAUAA
rnacentral:lncRNA from 1 species